UACAGAGGGUGCGAGCGUUGUCCGGAAUCACUGGGCGUAAAGGGCGCGUAGGUGGCGACCCAAGUCCAUGGUGAAAGCUCGAUGCUCAACAUCGAGUCGGCCACGGAUACUGGGUUGCUCGAGCACUGUAGAGGCUAAUGGAAUUCCGGGUGUAGCGGUGGAAUGCGUAGAGAUCCGGAAGAACACCGGUGGCGAAGGCGGUUAGCUGGGCAGUUGCUGACACUGAGGCGCGACAGCGUGGGGAGCGAACAGG
rnacentral:rRNA from 1 species